GGUUAUGGCUCAGGGGUAGAGUGUUCCCCUAGCAUGUGGGAGGCCCUGGGUUCAAUCCUCAGCACCA
rnacentral:tRNA from 1 species